rnacentral:misc_RNA from 1 species
GAUGAAGAACGUAGCGAAAUGCGAUAAGUAAUGUGAAUUGCAGAAUUCAGUGAAUCAUCGAAUCUUUGAACGCACAUUGCGCCCGCCAGUAUUCUGGCGGGCACGCCUGUUCGAGCGUCAUUUCAACCAUCAAGCCCCCGGCUUGUGUUGGGGACCUGCGGCUGCCGCAGGCCCUGAAAAGCAGUGGCGGGCUCGCUGUCACACCGAGCGUAGUAGCAUACAUCUCGCUCUGGGCGUGCUGCGGGUUCCGGCCGUUAAACCACCUUCAUAACCCAAGGUUGACCUCGGAUCAGGUAGGAAGACCCGCUGAACUUAAGCAUAUCAAUAAGCGGAGGA